GACGAACCGUGCAAACGUUGUUCGGAAUCACUGGGCUUAAAGGGCGCGUAGGCGGACUCGCCAGUCUGUGGUGAAAGCCCCCAGCUUAACUGGGGAAGUGCCAUGGAUACUGCGAGUCUGGAGGAGGGUAGGGGCAUCUGGAACGCUGGGUGGAGCGGUGAAAUGCGUUGAUAUCCAGCGGAACUCCGGUGGCGAAGGCGGGUCUCUGGGCCGAUACUGACGCUGAGGAGCGAAAGCGUGGGGAGCGAACAGG
rnacentral:rRNA from 1 species